rnacentral:rRNA from 1 species
AUUGAACGCUGGCGGCAUGCCUUACACAUGCAAGUCGAACGGUAACGCGGGGCAACCUGGCGACGAGUGGCGAACGGGUGAGUAAUGCAUCGGAACGUGCCCAGUAGUGGGGGGAUAGCCCGGCGAAAGCCGGAUUAAUACCGCAUACGACCUAUGGGUGAAAGUGGGGGAUCGCAAGACCUCGCGCUAUUGGAGCGGCCGAUGUCAGAUUAGCUAGUUGGUGGGGUAAAGGCCUACCAAGGCGACGAUCUGUAGCUGGUCUGAGAGGACGACCAGCCACACUGGGACUGAGACACGGCCCAGACUCCUACGGGAGGCAGCAGUGGGGAAUUUUGGACAAUGGGCGCAAGCCUGAUCCAGCCAUUCCGCGUGCAGGAUGAAGGCCUUCGGGUUGGUAAACUAGCUUUUGUACGGUAACGAAACGGUACUGCCCUAACUAACGGCGGGCGUAAUGACGGUACCGUAAGAAUAAGCACCGGACUAACUAACGUGCCAGCAGCCGCGGAA